rnacentral:rRNA from 1 species
AUUGAACGCUGGCGGCAUGCCUUACACAUGCAAGUCGAACGGCAGCACGGGAGCAAUCCUGGUGGCGAGUGGCGAACGGGUGAGUAAUACAUCGGAACGUGCCCAGUAGUGGGGGAUAGCCCGGCGAAAGCCGGAUUAAUACCGCAUACGACCUAUGGGUGAAAGCGGGGGAUCGCAAGACCUCGCGCUAUUGGAGCGGCCGAUGUCAGAUUAGCUAGUUGGUGGGGUAAAGGCCUACCAAGGCGACGAUCUGUAGCUGGUCUGAGAGGACGACCAGCCACACUGGGACUGAGACACGGCCCAGACUCCUACGGGAGGCAGCAGUGGGGAAUUUUGGACAAUGGGCGCAAGCCUGAUUCAGCCAUGCCGCGUGCGGGAAGAAGGCUUUCGGGUUGUAAACCGCUUUUGUCAGGGAAGAAACGGCUUUUUCUAAUACAGAGAGCUAAUGACGGUACCUGAAGAAUAAGCACCGGCUAACUACGUGCCAGCCGCCGCGGUAA